ACGGCUCAGUAACACGUCGAUAACGUUCCGUGAAGUCUGGAAUAACCUUGGGAAACUGAGGAUAAUACCGGAUCGGGAACAAUGUGUGGAAUCCUAUUGUUCCAGAAAGCUUCGGCGCUUCACGAUCGGUCGGCGGCCCAUCAGGUAGUUGGUGAGGUAAUGGCUCACCAAGCCUAAGACGGGUAGGGGCCUUGAGAGAGGUUGCCCCGAGAGGGACACUGAGAUACUGGUCCCAGCCCUAAGGGGUGCAGCAGUCGCUGAAAACUUCACAAUGCGCUGAAAGCGUGAUGAGGGGAUUCUGAGUGCUUACGGUUUAACUGUAGGCUUUUCGUUAGGGUAAAUACCUAGCGGAAUAAGUGGUGGGCAAGACUGGUGCCAGCCGCCGCGGUAACCCCAGCGCCACAAGUGGGAACCACGCUUAUUGGGUUUAAAGCAUCCGUAGCCUGUUCGGCAAAUGCCCUGUGAAAUCGUUGUGCUCAACACAACGACGUGCAGGGUAGACUACCGAACUAGAGACCAGAGGAAGUUGACGGUAUUCCUGAGGGAGCGGUAAAAUGUGAUAAUCUCAGGAGGACCACCGAUGGCGAAGGCAGUCAACUAAUAUGGAUCUGACGGUGAGGGAUGAAAGCUAGGGGAGCGAUCCUGGAUUAGAUACCCGAGUAGUCCUAGCCGUAAACUGCUGCAUGCCAGAUGUUACACAAUCUUCGAGAUUGUGUAGUGUCGAAACGAAGGUGUUAAGCAUGCCACCUGGGAAGUACGGUCGCAAGGCUGAAACUUAAAGGAAUUGGCGGGGGAGCAC
rnacentral:rRNA from 1 species